rnacentral:lncRNA from 1 species
AUGGUUCUGAAAUGUUUUGUGAGCUCUAACCUUGUCGUACCACAAAUAUGCAUGCCACCCAAACGCAUUCUUAAACCUGUUUCUGAUGACAAGUGUACAUUUUCCUCAUCCUCAAUAAACCAUGCAGUGGAAAAGACACUUGAAGAUGGAAGCCUGAGAGAGAGGAAAAGGUUUCUGGCUGCUUCCUGGGUGGGAUUGCAGAAACAAAGAGCCACUUCUGAGAAGGCCUCUCCCCUCCCCUCCUCUCUUCCACUUUCCUCUCCUCUCCAGGGUGAACAGUGGUUGGACUUGGCAGAUUCGCUGUGUCUGGACAGGGCAGGAGUUUAUGGGAGGGAAGAGGAUGGAGCUUGCAGGAAGGAAGGGGUGGGGGGACUGGAGCCCCCACUUUCCAGGGAUCCCUCUCUGGUUGCCUUGAAGGGGGGGUCGAUUCUUGGGUGGGAGGGAGAAGCCAAGGCGGCCCCUUCGGAGAUUCCUCGUGGGCGCACUAUGGAGACGUCUCCCUACAGACUGGUCUCCUCCCCCCAACCCCACCAAUGCUGCGCUUCCUUGCCCCAGGGAUGCUCCCCUCCCUCCUCCCCCCGGCUCCCCCCACCCUUGGCCCCCUCCCUCUCUCCCGGAGUCUCCCCUGCACCCAGAGGCCCCCUUGGCGCGGCUCACCCCUCGCCAUGCGCGACCCAUCUCUCCAUCCGGAGGGGCCCCCCAAGACGAGGUGGGGAGGGACAGGGGGGUCUCUAUCUAGGGUCUCUCGCGCCCGUUAACCCUUUCAUGGUCUGCCUCUCUCCGCGCGGAGCGCACAGGGCCCCAGGGAUGCCUGCGCGGGGGAAACGGGGCCGGGGAGUCCUCGUGGGACCCCGUGGGUGGGCGCCCCAUGUCCUCCCCUGCCGAGGAAAGCCCCCUUCGCAGCACACGUUCAGGGAUCCAGGCCCUGCCGGGGGGGCCACGGAAGGCGCUUUGGGGAGCUGGCGCGGAGUCCCUCUCUGGGUCCUUCUCUCCCCUCUCCCCCCCCCCCGCCGCGACCCCUUUACCUCUUUGUCCUCGAUCCCGAUUCUCAUUUCCUUUAAUGCAACAUCGAUGUUUUGUUGGGGGGGGUCCCCUGCCGCCCCUCCUCCCCUUUCCGAAAGGGCGCGCCCCUAG